AAGACACUCUGAGGUGAGCCAUUCUCAGAGGCCUGACAUAUCCGUCGUCGAUGAUUAUACGCAUCGGCACGGCAUGAAGCUCACAAUUAUAACAUGAUUGGAUUCAUCGAAUCCCAUAACGUGGUACAAAGUAUCCACCAUGAUUGACUGACUAACUAAACUGUCCUGAGUUUUUAUCCUGCCCAUGAUUCCCUUCCGGGGCAUAACUAACAUAUUCUAAUUUCUUGAUUAUCGUAUACUUAACGUGUAAUUAACAUUGUAAUUAUGUAUUUUACUUGCAGUAGUCACAUAAAAUAGCUAGAAGGCUUAGGGAUUCAAAAAGAGUGAGAUUGUUGUGUUUAAAAAAAAUUCUGCAGGUACUGACCUGCUACUUUGUUUUCAUAUUUUUCACCAAAUUUUUGCAGCAACUCUCACCACAAUCCUUUUUCCUACUAGCCAUGAAUAUUACAGCAUAUAAUACAU
rnacentral:lncRNA from 1 species